UACGUAGGUGACCAGCGUUGUCCGGAUUUACUGGGCGUAAAGAGCGCGCAGGCGGUCGUUCAAGUCGAGUGUGAAAGCCCCCGGCUCAACUGGGGAGGGUCACUCGAUACUGAUCGACUUGAAGGCAGGAGAGGGAAGCGGAAUUCCCGGUGUAGUGGUGAAAUGCGUAGAUAUCGGAAGGAACACCAGUGGCGAAAGCGGCUUCCUGGUCCAGCACCGACGUUCAGGCACGAAAGCGUGGGGAGCAAACAGG
rnacentral:rRNA from 1 species